GCAAAAAUAGUUUGUCAUAAAUUCUUAUAUUUAGUGACAAAGUACGUAAUAACAUCACAAUUUUAUUUGGAGGCAAAAAAUUUUAGAAAACUUUUGGAGGGGAAUUUUUUAAAGACGGAAAAAUCAUAAUUUAUGAUAAUUUGUAUUGUCAUAAAUACCAAUUUUAUAUGACAAGAUAAUAGCUCGUCACUAAUUAGAU
rnacentral:lncRNA from 1 species